UACGGAGGGGGCCAGCGUUGUCCGAAUUUACUGGGCGUAAAGCGCGCGUAGGCGGGUUCUUAAGUCCGCUGUGAAAGCCCGGAGCUCAACUCCGGAGGGUCGGUGGAUACUGCCAGUCUUGAAGGUGCUAGGGGGAGAUGGAAUUACCGGUGUAGCGGUGAAAUGCGUAGAUAUCGGUAGGAACACCAGUGGCGAAGGCGGUCUCCUGGGGCAUUCUUGACGCUGAGGCGCGAAAGCUGGGGGAGCAAACGGG
rnacentral:rRNA from 1 species